GAGGGCCCCGAGCGUUAUCCGGAUUUAUUGGGGCGUAAAGUGCACGUAGGAGGUCUAGUGCGUCGUGUGGUUAAAUCUCACUGCUCAACGGGUGAGGGCCGCACACGAUACGGCUAGACUAGAGGGUGCUAGAGGUCAGUGGAGCAUAUGGUGUAGGGGUGAAAUCCGUUGAUAUCAUAUGGAACACCAAAGGCGAAGGCAGCUGACUGGGGCAUACCUGACUCUCAUUGUGCGAAAGCGUGGGUAGCGAACGGGAUUAGAUACCCCGGUAGUCCACGCCGUAAACGAUGCAGACUAGGUGUUUCGAGUAUCGACCCUCGGAGUGCCGUAGCUAACGCGUUAAGUCUGCCGCCUGGGGAGUACGGCCGCAAGGCUA
rnacentral:rRNA from 1 species